CAAUUAAAUUAAAAAGAGGAAUGAAUGGCGAGCUAGGGUGCACUAAUAAGACGGAAAGCCCGAAAAGACGAGGGAGAAGUUUUGAACUCGGAUAUCUUCGCGGAAACGCAGAGAAAUAAACUGGAAACUGAAACAUCUAAGUACCAGAGCCAAUUGGCAUAGAAAAAUCAAACGAGCUUCCGUGAGUAGCGGCGAGCGAAAGCGGAAAAGUCCUCAAUGAGUUAGUAGUGGAAGAUAGGUGUCUACACAUCUAAGACUAAAUGUUAGUGCACACCGAAAGAGAGAGUACUGUGAAGGAAAGCUGAAAGAGACUUGAAAAGAUCUUAAAAUAAAUUCCCUUAAGCAGACAUAUUAUGUCGUACCUUUUGUAUAAUGGGUUCGCAAGAAAAAAUUUGGCAAACUUAAGUUUAGAAACGAAGGUGUAGUGAAAUCAAGGGGAGAUUCCCUUUUCAAGUCAAAUUACCCGAAACCAAGUGACCUAGCCUUGGGUAGUUCAAAGGAACGAACCGUUGAUUGUAGCAAAAAUCUCGGAUAACCUAUGGCUAGGGGUGAAAGACUAAUCAAACUUGGAGAUAGCUGGUUUUCUGCAAAAACUAUUGAAGUAGUGCGUCCAAGAAACUUAAUUUUACAUGAUAAAGCUCAAUCGCUCGGAGAGGGAUUAACUCUGAAUGUAAAAAAUUAAGGUGGAUAGACAGACAGUGGGCGAUAAGGUCAAUUGUCAAAAGGGGUAAGCCCUAAUCAGAAGUUAAAGCCACAGAUCAAAGUUUUUUAUCAAGUGUGAAAGGGAUGUGGAAUUUAAACAAUGAGGAAGUAGGCUUGGAACCAGCCAUCUUUGAAAGAUGACGUAAAAGUUCGCUCAAGAAAUUCUUUUAUCCCUAAAAUUAUGGUGGCUAAAGUUGAGCUGAAACUCUGAGGGCGAAGUAUUAUUCGCUCGGUAGCAGAACGGACUGUAAUAUUGGUUCGGCGAGAGCCCAACCAUCAGAAGUGAUAAUGCGAACAUGAGUAAAAAAUCGUUGGAUCACUCUCCCAAGGCUUCAAUUAUAAAUUGGGUUAUACAGCCCCUAAGAUAGUAACCCUCUGGUUACGUCAAUGGGUCUUAUAAAAAACGCACGAAGUGCCAGGAAAAAUUUAUGAAUUUUUACUGUACUAGUCUAACACAAGUGGGGUGAAGUGAGGAGAGAACUUCUCUUAAGGAACUCGGCCAAAUCUGGGCUUCGACUGUUUANCCAAAAACAUAGCUCUCUGCUAAAGCUAAAUGCUGAAGUAUGGAGGGUGAGGCCUGCCCAAUGGUUGUAUCUAAAAGAGUUGGCUAAGGUCAACUUCAUAAGGGCAAUUGAAUGGCCGCGGUAACACUGACCGUGAUAAUGUAGCGUAAUCAAUAGCCAAUUAAUUGUUGGCCGGUAUGAAUGGCGUCACGAAGGCCCCACUGUCUUAAGAGGACUCUCCAUGAAAUUGAAUUCGUAGUGAAGAUGCUACGUCCAUAUUGUAAGACGAAAAGACCCCAUUGAGCUUUACUAAAGACUUGCAUGGCUCAAAAUAAUUUGACUUAAAUAAAGAGUUUAGAUAAUGUGGGACCCGUUUCCGGUUAAUGAAACACCACUCUUUUAUUUUAAGAGAGCUAACAUUACAGGGAUAGUGUAAGUUGGAUAGUUUGGUUGGGGCGACCACCUUUUAAAAGGUAACGAAGGUGAGCUUAAGGUCCGUAGUUAAUAGCCGGUGGCCUGACUGCAAGGGGGACGUCUCGAGCAGACACGUCCUUAGGGAUGUGGACUAUAGUGACCCGUCAUCUUAAUGUGGAAUAGUUGACGAUCAACGAAUAAAAGCUACCAUGGGGAUAACAGCGUUAUAUCGUUAGAGAGUUUUAUCGACGACGAUGUUUGCGACCUCGAUGUUGAAUUGUGGCACCCUGGGGUGCAGCCGCCCCCAAGGGUUGGUCUGUUCGUCCAUUAAAGCCGUACAUGAUUUGAGUUAAAAGCGUGGCAACACAGCUUGGUUUCUAUCUACAAUAUGAAGAAACAUCAAUAUAAUUAUCUUCUAGUACGAAAGGACCGAAGAAUUAGCGAUCCUCUUAUUUUUACAAGUUACGAUCGAUCCAUUGGCCCCUUAGUUCGAGGCCUCAUAGUUAAUCACUGAUUGCCUCUUAAGUGUGAAAAUUAUAUUGAACUGUUUGAUGUAAAGUAAAUAAUUAUGC
rnacentral:rRNA from 1 species